rnacentral:rRNA from 1 species
CCUACGGGUGGCAGCAGUCGAGAAUCAUUCACAAUGGGGGAAACCCUGAUGGUGCGACGCCGCGUGGGGGAAUGAAGGUCUUCGGAUUGUAAACCCCUGUCAUGUGGGAGCAAAUUAAAAAGAUAGUACCACAAGAGGAAGAGACGGCUAACUCUGUGCCAGCAGCCGCGGUAAUACAGAGGUCUCAAGCGUUGUUCGGAAUCACUGGGCGUAAGGCGUGCGUAGGCUGUUUCGUAAGUCGUGUGUGAAAGGCGCGGGCUCAACCCGCGGACGGCACAUGAUACUGCGAGACUAGAGUAAUGGAGGGGGAACCGGAAUUCUCGGUGUAGCAGUGAAAUGCGUAGAUAUCGAGAGGAACACUCGUGGCGAAGGCGGGUUCCUGGACAGUAACUGACGCUGAGGCACGAAGGCCAGGGGAGCGAAAGGGAUUAGAUACCCGUGUAGUC